GCCCUGGUGGCAUAGUGGUCAAGUGCUAUGGCUGUUAACCAAAAGGUUGGCAGUUCAAAUCUGCCAGGCA
rfam:Loxodonta africana unplaced genomic scaffold scaffold_35, whole genome shotgun sequence.